rnacentral:pre_miRNA from 1 species
UACCUGUAUAUGUGUAUGUCUACGUGUACCAUUAAGAGAUACAUAUAUACAGGUAUCUCUUAAUGGUACACGUAGACAUACACAUAUACAGGUAU